rnacentral:lncRNA from 10 species
GGCCAUGCUAAUCUUCUGUAUAUUGUUCCAAUUUUGGUGUAUGUGCUGCCAAAGCAAGCACCCAGCUUCUUUUCAUUAGUUAAGAAGAUGAAGGCCAAGACUAAGGCAGGGAGGCCUUUCUCUGCCUUUCACUCUUUAGUGCACCUCACAGUCAGUUGCACUUGAGUAAGGACUGCUAAACCUCUCUGAGAGCUGCCAGAUGUUCCUGCCUAGCCUCAGGUUGUUGGUUCUUCAGACACCUCUUCAUUCUGCCCAUUGCACCAGCCCUUUCCCAUCUCCAUGUUCCCUCCAUGGUAAUUUCUUUGUACACAACAACCACACGGAGCACCAGCAAUCAAGAUUAGCUCCCGGGAACUCUGGCGUGCCCUGUACCAGGAAGCACAGUGGAUUACUACAACUUUUGAUAAUGAUUGUUUGCUUUGUACCAGGCAUUAUUUUCAGGGCUGUUUCACAUGUGUUGUACUUAACAACCCCAUGAGGAAAUUAAGGCAGGGUGGUUCAGUAAUUUGUCAAGGGAAACAAGGAAGUAGAGCAGGCAGCAGAGGCGUUCUGGCUCUGAACUACUCUGUUCUGUAGAAAUCAGUGCAAAAGUCCAAGCUUCAGCAUACUUGUUUCAUCUUGUGAUCACAGUAUCCCGCUGGCUUAACCAACGGCCCCUCCCUUUGAGAACUGAGAGGAUGGUAGUUCCUGGAGAGAUCAUCUGUCUUUAUAAGGAGAAAAGUUUGGCAAUGUGAUUUCCUGUAUGUUUCUACCGGAGUCCAAGAUUCCAGCAGUGCUAGCCUAGACAGCAGCGGCUGCAUCCUAGAACCCAGAGGUCAGGAGUGCUCCCAAGUCAGUGUGAG